CUUCUACUGAGACAUAAGAAGAAUGCAGAUAUUUUGCCAUGAGUACAGGAGAACUAAAGGGAAGAUGGAGACACUAGGCUUGAAGUUGUCAACAAAUAUGUGAAAGCAAUCUGUGAAAGGAGUCCCUCUAAUGUGUCUAGAAUUCUGUUGCUCUUCAGAAACAAAGCAAAAGACCUUUCUUUGGGAAAUCACCUCUAGCUUGAAAAUCUGGAGCCCCACAGACAACAGGUAUCUAAAGGUCUCCAGCAUUAUACCCUGGGGACAUUGUCCUCUAUGUAGGGUUCACCUGGCCCCACUCCUGUGCUGACUCCCAGGUGAAGGCCUCACCUGAUGGGUAUAUCUCUAAAGAUCCUCUGGUGCUCUUCUAAUCACAUCUACUGGCCAAUCCAAUUGAAAAACAAUAAAUCAAGAGGCUGCGGCCAUUUCUACAGUCACCCCUUCUGGCUGGACAAUGUAUUCCUGAGGGCUCAUCAGACCAUCAAGUACCUGUAAGAGGGACAAAGGGAAACAGGGAAAGCUAAAGAGACAAUUUUCAGGGUACAUAGAGGACCAGGAAGAGUUCACGGCUAGUGGACUGUCUCAGCUACCCUGGGGCUGGCUUGCUUUUAAUGUCUGGCAAGAAGUGCAGGGGCAGGGGUGGUGGAUAGUAACUGUAGAAAUUGGGUGGAUAAAGAUUAAGUUAAUCAGGAACCAGAUGUUCUCUAAACUCAAAUACCUGUAUUUUGACAACUGUCCUCCACAGUUGCUAUCUUGCCUCAGGGUUAUUAGCAUUUCACCUAUAGCCAGGGGCCAUGAGGUCUUCCCAUACCUCCCUUUUUUUGAAGCAAGGUCUGGACUGUGAGGAUUUGAGUCACAUAGUGUGCUCCCAUGAGCUAUCACAUAGCCUGGUCCCCAAGGAAUGUAGGUGAGGGUGGGCUAACAAUGAGGCUGAAAUAGACAAAUGAUCUGGAAGGCAUACGCCAUCUGUCACAUGUCUUCCUUCCCAUUUCCAUCACAUCAUCUCCCACUUCCUGCAUUACUCACAUGCCGCUGACCAACACUGUAUUCUAAGACAUCAGGUUUGACAUUUCACUCCAUCUACCAGUAAAGGUCUCCGGGUUUUAAAUUCCUUGCUGUUUAAGAAUUUUAAAAUUGCACUUUCUCAAUGGAGACCUUCCAAAACACCUGGUUAAAUAUGGCUCUGGCCAAGUCAUUCUCAAAGAACUGCCUUUCAUUUCAUUAAUAGGUGAUAUCAUUUAAUUAAAAUUAUUUCAGCCAUUUAUUUACUGCCUUAUAAAUGUGUAAACUUUUAAGAUUCUACCAUAUGGAUGUCAUCUGUCUUACCAACCAUACAACUGAUACUUUUUAGAAGAGUUCCUGUCAUUUAGUUCACAUCCCCAGCUUACAUUUCUUACUGAUAUGAAAUCUGUGGUUCAGAUGACUCUGAACCUGUCAGCGGUCAGACCUUGGAGGACAUGCUCAUUAGAAUAAGGUUACCAUUCCAUUGGAUGGAUUCCUAAAUUGUAAUUUGAAAGACCGUAGCUUUGUGUUUAUGAUUUGUCAGAGUUAAUGAAGUCUGAAAAUGGACCUAUUUGAAAACAAGUUUGUAGUUUUUAAGGCUGUAAAUAAAUGACUGAAAUAAUUUUAAUUAAUUAAAUGAUAUCACCUAUUAAUUAACAAAGUUUUGAGUGGAGAGAAAAUUCAAAAUUUAGCUGUGCCCACAAGACUAUAAGAUGAUUGCUUUAGAAUAUUUGUAUACUUUUAGAUUUUUAAUAUUUUCCAAUUUGCCACAUUACAUUUACAGAGCACUUACUGCUGUACAAUGCUAUCAGUGACAUUUUGUCAGAAACAGUUAUUUCUUUGAUAUAGUGGUCAUUGUUUUGAUAAAAGCAAGGAAAAAAGAAAAAAAAAACUACCUUCAAACCAUUUUAAAUAUAAACUUUAUUGUUUCCAUAUAGUCUUUUUACAUUUCAAUUAAGUCUUAUUCUCCUGCUUCUCUGCCUUCAGAGAAAUCGCACCCUCUUCAACAAGGAGAAUGAUGUCAUUUUAGUCAAAACGUGGACACUGUUUUCUCUUGCAUAGUCAUUUUCACUACUUUUGUUUCAUAUAGUGAAACCAAAAGCUGAUAAAGAUGUUGCUGUGACAGGUGAAAAGAGUAGCAGUGGACCUGGGAACAGGAGAAUGGGAAGCAGAAUUACAAGGAUUUUCAGGCAUUUACACUGACACUGUUUCCGCAAUUUCCUUUCUCGGGCAAUUCCACUGAGAGCAACCUCUCUGCUGAGCGCCCUCUCUUCUCUUUGCAGUGUACAAUUCUCUUUUAUACUCGCUGCUCAUUAUUUUACUAAAACAAAAACAAGAAAACAAACAAAAUAACUAUGUGCAGAAGGCAAGAUAAGCCCAGCUUCAAUUAUUUAUUAUUCUGUCAAAAUGUCUUACAUUUUAUUCAUUUUAUAAUUUUUGACUUGGUUGGAACUAGAAACGAGGCAUUAUUUUCCUGUAAUUAUUUCAUUCCAUAUUUUCCCCUGUCUUCCACAUGUAUUCUGUUGUUCAGCCUUGAAUUCUCUUGCCUUUCUAGGGUAAGCAUAAGGAUAUAUAUAUAUAUAUAUAUAUAUAUAUAUAUAUAUUCCAUA